UUUGUUUUCCACCGAGGCAAAACCUGUGAGAUUUUUCUCCUCCUCCAGGUGCCCUGGAUAUUUUUACAACGCUCGGGGAGCUGCCACCAGCUUAACGAACCACCUAACCGAUAUUUUCGUCGAGCUUUUUCCACUUUAGGGCCGACACCCGCGACCCGCGGAGCUCUCAGCCGCGGCGCCUCAGCGGGGAUCCCGCGCAGCCGCCGCCGGCGCCCGCCUCCGCCAUGCCGGGGCCCGCCCGCCCCGACACCGGCGGGGACCUCGGGGACACCGCCGGGCGCCGCUGGGCCUCCGGCCCGGGUGCCGGGCGGCCGGGAAAGCGGCGCUGGAGGGCGGCUGCUGGCUCCCCGCCGGCUGCUGGCUCCCCGCCGGCUGGCUGCCGGCUCCCCGGCGGCGCUGCGGCUCGCCACAGCUGCAGGGCGUAAUGUUGCAGCCCUUAGGUUUCCUAAGGUUGAGAUGAAAAUCCAUUUCUGGGCCGUGUAAAGUUACUCUGCACUGAAGCUCAUGCAAUGAGAAGACUGUAAGGCUUACAACGGAGGAAGCAUUACCUUGUACUGCACUUACUGUGACUGGCUAUACCUGAUGGCAUUUCCUGGAAUACAAGAAAUACGGAUUUUGGUGAUUCACUUUCAUUGAUGUGGAUGUAAGUCAGAGUUAAAUUGUUAAAAAAAACUUCUUAUAACAUUACUAACUCACAUUUUAUUCAAUUACUUGAAAUUCUGUUUUAUCUGAAACUGAGAUUUCAACAAGCACAAGAUCAAAUUUUAAGUCUGUGGAGAAAGCAAGAAAACUUCUGAGGGCUAGAAAAAGAUAUUUGAGGGACCCCUUAAAACAUUCUUUAGAAUAAUAAUAAUAAAAAAGAUAUCAUUUUUUUACA
rnacentral:lncRNA from 1 species